UACGGGGGGGGCAAGCGUUGUUCGGAAUUACUGGGCGUAAAGUGUGCGCAGGCGGCCGCGCAAGUCGAGUGUGAAAGCCCCGGGCUUAACUUGGGAAUUGCGCUCGAAACUACGUGGCUGGAGUGUGGCAGAGGAAGGUGGAAUUCCACGUGUAGCGGUGAAAUGCGUAGAGAUGUGGAGGAACACCAAUGGCGAAGGCAGCCUUCUGGGCCAACACUGACGCUCAUGCACGAAAGCGUGGGGAGCAAACAGG
rnacentral:rRNA from 1 species